rnacentral:snRNA from 1 species
GAGUUUGCACUGUGGCAGUAUCAUAGCCAAUGAGGUUUAUCCAAGACAUGAUUAUUGAUAAUUGAAAGCUUUUCCCUAAUCAAGUAAGUAAAGAUUCUUCUACAAUAAUUUAAGAGCAUUUGAAAAC